GCGAGAGCAGGUCUCUGGGCGGCUCGCGGCCCAUGACCGGCCUCUCCAGGCCGCCCUCCGGACUCCAGAGCAUGUCGGCCGGCGCCUCGCGGCCCAUGACGGGCGUGUCUCGGCCAGUGUCCGGCGCGCUGGGCCAGGACAGCCGGUCCUUCAGCGAGAACGCACAGUGGGACGGCCGCCCGGGCACCUCUGGCCGCCCGUUCUCAGGCGCCGUGGGCGGCCCGCCCGGCACCGG